UUUGGUGCCUGGUCACAUGGCCGAAGGAGAUUGGGGGAUUUUUGCAAGACCUGCUUUGCUUUUGCUUUCCUGGAGCUGCCUGGGUGACCUGCUGCUUGCUGGCCUUGACGACUAGAGAGCUAGAAUUACUUCUGCAAGUAUUUUAAAAUAUUCUUUUUUGUUACUCUGUGGAACUGGACUUCUGUCGUUUGCAAUCCCUUUGGGAACUGCUCUGCUUCCUGUUGUGUUGGCAAGGUAAUUGUUGAGUCGUGCCUGAUUUUAUGACCUCUUCGGUGAAUCCCUGCAAUCAAGCGAAUCGUGCGAUUGUGAAAUGAAUCCAGCAUCUCUCGUUGACUUUGUUGGUCAAAAGAGGGCUGGGAAGAUCGCCAUUGGUGAUUCCAUGACCCCGGGAUGCUUGUUGGAAAACAUCGUGUGUGCCUAUUUCACAGUUCUCAUUCAGGUUUGACUCCAGCCUUUGGCACUGAUCCUUCCACGACGUUCGAGAUCAUCAAGCAGAACACAAAAAAAGAGAGAGAAAAUUGCUUUCUCAAAGUUACGAUGCACGCAGGACAGCCAAAUUCUUCCAAAUGGAUCUUACACAGGUUCUUAAAAGGAUCCUACAGCGAAAUUCGUUUAAAAAAACAAAACAAAACCAUUUUUUUUUUCAUUUUUACGGCGUGAAGUUUGCCAGCUGCUGUAUUCUUCUGCUUUGCCACUGCUUAAACCGGAUAAAACAAUGCACAAAAAAAACCAA